CGUAGCUCAGCUGGUAGAGCAACUGACUUUUAAUCAGUAGGUCCAGGGUUCGAAUCCCUGCG
rnacentral:tRNA from 1 species